GGACGCCAACUCGCGCAAACGUGGUGGAUAACUUCGUCACGUGGCACGAAUCCCUAGAACCUUCUCUUCGAUCUGUUCUCUUGGUCAACGUGUCCGAUCGAUUGAGCCGUGGAUUCUCGUAGAUCCGCCCGCGAUCUGCCGAUCGCGCAUAGCUUUGCCGCGGUUCUGCGUAGAUUCUUCGAUCGAUCAAGCAUCGGGUUUUGUGAUUCGGGCGGUAUUUCGAGAUAUCUGUCUCUGGUGUUCUUCUGCCGCAGAUUCAUCGCCGCGCACGAAAGCCGAGAGUUUAGCCUGCAGAUGCGGCAGAUCGCGUGUUCCUCGCUGAGGUCGUGUUGCAGCGGACUAUCAGUUCGAUGUUGGUGGCCAGACGGAUUGAGGAGGUCAUUUCAUAUUUUACGUGUGGAUGGCGAUCAUCAGAGCCGGUGUAUUUGUAUUCCCAUACAAAGAAGGACUCGCGAGAUGAUGGCAUGGUGGCUUUGACUGUUUGAUACACGAUUAUCUGCUGGUCAGUAGCUUUUCAUUAUUUAUGAAAAUAGGAAUGAUUGGUUGUGUGGGGGAAUUAGAGGUGUUAAAUGGGUUGCACAACCCAUUUAUAGACCCAUUUAUGGUUAAAUGGGUCAUUAAUGGGUCAAGCUUUCUUUCAUAAAGCACCCAUAAUGAGUUUUAAUGGGUUAAGAUUAAGAUAUAUGAGUUUUAAAUGGGUUAAAGAGUUGACCCAUUUAUCAACCCAUUAAAAAUAAACCUAUUUAUUUUCAUUUAAAACCCCAUCAUCUCUCUCCUCUUUUUGACUUUACAAUUUUUUUUUAUAA